rnacentral:rRNA from 1 species
AACGUAGGAGACAAACGUUAUCCGGAGUUACUGGGCGUAAAGGGCGUGUAGGCGGUUAGUUAAGUCUGGCGUGAAAGCCUCUCGGCUAAACCGGGAGAGGUCGUUGGAUACUGGCUGACUAGAGGACGGUAGAGGCGUGUGGAAUUCCGGGUGUAGUGGUGAAAUGCGUAGAGAUCCGGAGGAACACCAGUGGCGAAGGCGAACACGCUGGGCCGUACCUGACGCUAAAGCGCGACAGCAUGGGGAGCAAACGGG